rnacentral:lncRNA from 1 species
CGAUUGUAGGAACGUACAUAAUAUCAAUACUCAUUAAAGGAGUUCUUAAAAUCACAACAAGCUAAAGGGGAAUAACUCUGAACUAGGUCAUUUUUAUGAUGAACAUAUGGAGUCCGUGUUUUCUACAACAAUGGAGGCUUAUUGGGCGCAUGAAGGUGCCAAUGAAUUUGGAGAAUUGGGCCACAAAUUUAAAAUGCUUACACUAAUUAGCCUUGGUCCAAUUAAGGCCCAAGAAUUUCAACCUUAGUCCAAUUAAGGCCCAAGAAUUUCAAGAAAUUGAAUAACUCCAAGAAUCCAUUCACGAUUUGGAUUUCUUUUUCUUAAAGAUUAGGAUUUCUUUUUUCACAAAGAUUAGGAUUUCUUAAUUCUUGUUUUAGUGGGAUUAUAUUUGUAGUUCUAGUUAAACUAGGAUUGUUAGUUGGUAGUCCAUUCUUACUAGAUUUCUUUUUUCUAUUUUAGU